rnacentral:rRNA from 1 species
CUGGAAUUGCUAGUAAUGGCAGGUCAGCAUACUGCCGUGAAUACGUUCCCGGGCCUUGUACACACCGCCCGUCACACCAUGAGAGUUGGGAAUACCCGAAGCCUGUGAGCUAACUUAUAGAGGCAGCAGUCGAAGGUAGAAUCAAUGAUUGGGGUGAAGUCGUAACAAGGUAAC